rnacentral:rRNA from 1 species
GACGAACGCUGGCGGCGUGCUUAACACAUGCAAGUCGAACGGAAAGGCCCUGCUUUUGUGGGGUGCUCGAGUGGCGAACGGGUGAGUAACACGUGAGUAACCUGCCCUUGACUUUGGGAUAACUUCAGGAAACUGGGGCUAAUACCGGAUAGGAGCUCCUGCUGCAUGGUGGGGGUUGGAAAGUUUCGGCGGUCGGGGAUGGACUCGCGGCUUAUCAGCUUGGUGGUGGGGUAGUGGCUUACCAAGGCUUUGACGGGUAGUCGGCCUGAGAGGGUGACCGGCCACAUUGGGACUGAGAUACGGCCCAGACUCCUACGGGAGGCAGCAGUGGGGAAUAUUGCACAAUGGGCGGAAGCCUGAUGCAGCAACGCCGCGUGCGGGAUGACGGCCUUCGGGUUGUAACCCGCUUUCGCCUGUGACGAAGCGUGAGUGACGGUAAUGGGUAAAGAAGCACCGGCUAACUACGUG